UGCCGUGAAUAUCAUUGUUGCUUGUGGUUUUGAGAUUCGGCCAUUUUAGUUCCUUGUGAGAAUUAUUGCCGUGAGCUCCUUGUGUGUGUGGAAGACUUGUUACCGUGAGUUUGGGUGGCUUGCCUUUGAGUGGUGACCGUGACCAUCCUAGUAACUUGAGUGGGAGAUUUUGGGGUUGCUUGGUGGUUGGAGAUUGCGGUUGGCCCUUGUAGUUCCCUUGGGGAAUUAUUGCCGUGAGGUUCA
rnacentral:misc_RNA from 1 species